UGGAAGUAAAAGUCGUAACAAGGUUUCCGUAGGUGAACUGCGGAAGGAUCAUUAAUAAAUGCUCUGAUAUAAGAGCACUUAAUAAUCCUACCCUUUGUGAAUUGUUGUUUGAAAUAAUUUUUUAAAAUUAUUGAUUGUCUUCCCUGUUGAAUUGGUUGUCCUUUUGGACGGUUGAUUCGCAGGGAUAGUCAGUAAUUUUAAAAAGACCUUUUUUAAAAUUAAACUUUGUGUAUUCAUUUGUCUAAAAUUAUUUUAUAAUAUAAAAACAACUUUUGACAAUGGAUCUCUUGGUUCUCGCAACGAUGAAGAACGCAGCAAAAUGCGAUAAGUAGUGUGAAUUGCAGAAUACGUGAAUCAUCGAAUCUUCGAACGCAUAUUGCACUUUUUAGUUUACUAAAAAGUAUGUCUGUUUGAGUAUCAGUAAAAUAUUCUCAUAAAACUUUUUUGUUUUAUGGUUAUGAGUGUUUUACAACGAUACAAGUUGUUUCACUUUAAAUUUUUUAAAAUUUGAACUUUUUUCUAAUUUAAAUAAAAUUGGAUAAAAUUUUCCCGUAACAGGAAUAACCUAAACAAUUUUACUUAUUUUAGAAGAAAUUUCAACCAAAGGAAAUUUAACAAAAUAACUUGAUCUCAAAUCAGAUAAGAGUACCCGCUGAACUUAAGCAUAUCAAUAAGCGGAGAAAAGAAACUAACAAGGAUUCCCUUAGUAACGGCGAGUGAAGCGGGAAGAGCUCAAAUUUGAAAUCUUCAAGGUUUUACCUUGAGAAUUGUAGUUUAAAGAAGUGUUUUCUGUUGAAGUUUUGGUAAAAGUUCUUGAAUAGGACAUCAUAGAGGGUGAGAAUCCGUAUUUGACCAUUAUUUCAGCUGUGUGAUACACUUUCAAAGAGUCGAUUGUUUGGGAAUGCAGUCCAAAAUGGGUGGUAAUUCAUCUAAAGCUAAAUAUUGGCGAGAGACCGAUAGCGAACAGUACCGUGAGGGAAAGAUGAAAAGAACUUUGAAAAGAGAGUUAAACAGUACGUGAAAUUGUCAAAGGAAGCGUUUGACACAGUGUUGUUUUCUCGAAAUCAAUUAAAAAUGGCUGGAUUCUGUGUUGUAUUGACUUAACAGCUUUCUUCACUUUUUCCUGUCUUUUUAAUGCACUUUUCGUUAACAAGUCAACAUCAGUUUCUUUUAUGUAAAAGGUCAUUGGAAGGUGGCUUCUUUCGGAGAAGUGUUAUAGCCUUUGAUCCUGCAAUCGGAGAGACUGAGGUCUGCAGCGUAGAUCCUUCGGGUUAGAUUCAUUUGUGCUAAGUUAUAGCUUUUAUAGACAACUUGUUGACU
rnacentral:misc_RNA from 1 species